rnacentral:rRNA from 1 species
GAGUAAUGUCUGGGAAACUGCCUGAUGGAGGGGGAUAACUACUGGAAACGGUGGCUAAUACCGCAUAACGUCGCAAGACCAAAGAGGGGGACCUUCGGGCCUCUUGCCAUCAGAUGUGCCCAGAUGGGAUUAGCUUGUUGGUGAGGUAACGGCUCACCAAGGCGACGAUCCCUAGCUGGUCUGAGAGGAUGACCAGCCACACUGGAACUGAGACACGGUCCAGACUCCUACGGGAGGCAGCAGUGGGGAAUAUUGCACAAUGGGCGCAAGCCUGAUGCAGCCAUGCCGCGUGUAUGAAGAAGGCCUUCGGGUUGUAAAGUACUUUCAGCGGGGAGGAAGGUGUUGUGGUUAAUAACCGCAGCAAUUGACGUUACCCGCAGAAGAAGCACCGGCUAACUCCGUGCCAGCAGCCGCGGUAAUACGGAGGGUGCAAGCGUUAAUCGGAAUUACUGGGCGUAAAGCGCACGCAGGCGGUCUGUCAAGUCGGAUGUGAAAUCCCCGGGCUCAACCUGGGAACUGCAUUCGAAACUGGCAGGCUUGAGUCUUGUAGAGG